UCUUAGCAGAACCUCACGACCGCCCAAGGGAACUAGGAGUGGCGAGCGAUGAGGACGCGGGUUGUGUGACGAUCACCGAUAAUUAGUUGGUGAUUAACGCGCAAGUAGAAAAAAGAGCUCGCCCCAGGCUGCCAGCAGAAAAGAGCCACCGUGGCACGUGCCCCGGGGAGUGCCGCGGUGGCCGAGUUUGCACGGAGAGCCGGACACCGCCUGGGGAGCCGCGCUCGUAGCCUGGGGGCGGGACGCGGCGGCCGCUCCCUCCGCCCCCUAGUAGCUGCCACCGCCUGGCUGCGCCCCAGCCCAGUAGCUCAGACGCGACUGCAUCCCCGGGACCGUAGAGGCUGCAGAGAGCUAGAACCCGAGUCGCAGCUCCGAGUCGCAGCUCCGGGCCGCAGAGCGCUGGGCGAACGCGAGGGCCAGGGCAACGGCAGGGCGGGCAGCUGGGCUCUCGGCUGGAGUCAUGCUAUACUGAAAAGACACUCGAUCAAGAGAACUCUGGGAGAAGCAGGAAACCCUGUGCCAGGGACAGGAAAGAUAGGAGAGCCUCAGAAGUCAUUCAGGGAUGCUGCAAAGUGCAGGGGAUCAAACCAUUGACUGCUGAAUUUGAGUCUUACUUUAGUCAUUUAUUAUUAGCUGUGUGACUGCUGGUAAAUUACUUAAUCUCUCUGUCUCUGUGUUUUCAUUUGUAAAUGGUAUUAAUAUUAGUGCCUCUCCCCCAGGGUUAUUAAGAAGAUUAAAGCAGUUGAUAUUUGUAAAGUACUUGGAAUAUUGCCUGUACAGUUAAUUGUUUAAUAACAUUUUAAUGUGAUGUGAACUCAUCAGAUCUGAUGUCUACAAACAGUACUUUGAGUCUGAGAAUUGUAUCAUUUUAAGUGUUUCUUGCUUUUGCUUUCAAUACAUCUUGAAAUUAUUAGACUGAUGAAAACA